rnacentral:rRNA from 1 species
AGUGAACGCUGGCGGUAGGCCUAACACAUGCAAGUCGAACGGCAGCACAGUAAGAGCUUGCUCUUACGGGUGGCGAGUGGCGGACGGGUGAGGAAUACAUCGGAAUCUACUUUUUCGUGGGGGAUAACGUAGGGAAACUUACGCUAAUACCGCAUACGACCUACGGGUGAAAGCAGGGGAUCUUCGGACCUUGCGCGAUUGAAUGAGCCGAUGUCGGAUUAGCUAGUUGGCGGGGUAAAGGCCCACCAAGGCGACGAUCCGUAGCUGGUCUGAGAGGAUGAUCAGCCACACUGGAACUGAGACACGGUCCAGACUCCUACGGGAGGCAGCAGUGGGGAAUAUUGGACAAUGGGCGCAAGCCUGAUCCAGCCAUACCGCGUGGGUGAAGAAGGCCUUCGGGCUGUAAAGCCCUUUUGUUGGGAAAGAAAAGCAGCAGGUUAAUACCCCGCUGUUCUGACGGUACCCAAAGAGUAAGCACCGGCUAACUUCGUG